rfam:Heterocephalus glaber contig11296, whole genome shotgun sequence.
GUCUACAGCCAUACCACCCUGAAAGUGCCCAGUCUCAUCUGAUCUUGGAAGCUAAGCAGGCUCAGGCCUGGUUAGUACUUGGAUGGGAGAAAUACUAUUUCCUGCUAUCUACU